rnacentral:rRNA from 1 species
UGGGGAAUUUUGCGCAAUGGGCUAACGCCUGACGCAGCAACGCCGCGUGGAGGAUGAAGGUCUUUGGAUUGUAAACUCCUGUCAGCAGGGAAAAAGCGAAUCGGCCUAACACGCCGGUGAGUUGAUUGUACCUGCAGAGGAAGCCCCGGCUAACUCUGUGCCAGCAGCCGCGGUAAUACAGAGGGGGCAAGCGUUAUUCGGAAUUAUUGGGCGUAAAGGGCGCGUAGGCGGCUUCGCAAGUGGAUGGUGAAAUCCCUCGGCUUAACCGAGGAAUUGCCGUCCAAACUGCGUUGCUUGAGGCCGGGAGAGGCGAGUGGAAUUCCCAGUGUAGCGGUGAAAUGCGUAGAUAUUGGGAGGAACACCAGUGGCGAAGGCGGCUCGCUGGACCGGUUCUGACGCUGAUGCGCGAAAGCGUGGGGAGCAAAC